rnacentral:rRNA from 1 species
AUCGAUGAAGAACGCAGCGAAAUGCGAUAAGUAAUGUGAAUUGCAGAAUUCAGUGAAUCAUCGAAUCUUUGAACGCACCUUGCGCUCCUUGGUAUUCCGAGGAGCAUGCCUGUUUGAGUGUCAUUAAAUUCUCAACCCCUCCAGCUUUUGCGAGUUGUGAUGGGGCUUGGAUCUGGGAGCUUGCGGGUCUUUAUCAAUAAAGGUCAGCUCUCCUGAAAUACAUUAGCGGAACCGUUUGCAGUCCCGUCACUAGUGUGAUAAUUAUCUACACUGUGAUGAUUGCUCUCUGACUAGUUCAGCUGCUAAUCGUCCACUAUGGACAACACUUAAUGAAAUUCUUGACCUCAAAUCAGGUAGGACUACCCGCUGAACUUAAGCAUAUCAAUAAGCGGAGGAAAAGAAACUAACAAGGAUUCCCCUAGUAACUGCGAGUGAAGCGGGAAAAGCUCAAAUUUAAAAUCUGGCGGUCUCUGGCCGUCCGAGUUGUAAUCUAGAGAAGUGAUGCCCGCGCUGGACCGUGUACAAGUCUCCUGGAAUGGAGCGUCAUAGAGGGUGAGAAUCCCGUCUCUGACACGGACUACCAGGGCUUUGUGGUAUCCUCUCAAAGAGUCGAGUUGUUUGGGAAUGCAGCUCUAAAUGGGUGGUAAAUUCCAUCUAAAGCUAAAUAUUGGCGAGAGACCGAUAGCGAACAAGUACCGUGAGGGAAAGAUGAAAAGAACUUUGGAAAGAGAGUUAAACAGUACGUGAAAUUGCUGAAAGGGAAACGCUUGAAGUCAGUCGCGUUGGCCAGGAAUCAGCCUCGCUCUUGCGUGGUGUACUUUUUGGUUGACGGGUCAGCAUCAAUUUUGACUGCUGGAAAAAGGCUUAGGGAAUGUGGCAGCUUCGGCUGUGUUAUAGCCCUUUGUCACAUACAGCGGUUGGGAUUGAGGAACUCAGCACGCCGCAAGGCCGGGUUUCGACCACGUUCGUGCUUAGGAUGCUGGCAUAAUGGCUUUAAGCGACCCGUCUUGAAACACGG